rnacentral:rRNA from 1 species
UACGUAGGGGGCUAGCGUUGUCCGGAUUUAUUGGGCGUAAAGAGCGUGUAGGCGGCCAGGUAGGUCGGUUGUGAAAAUUGGAGGCUCAACCUCCAGACGUCGAUCGAAACCAUCUGGCUAGAGUCCGGAAGAGGAGAAUGGAAUUCCUGGUGUAGCGGUGAAAUGCGCAGAUAUCAGGAAGAACACCGAUGGCGAAGGCAGUUCUCUGGGACGGUACUGACGCUGAGACGCGAAAGCGUGGGGAGCGAACAGG